rnacentral:rRNA from 1 species
CCCAGACUCCUACGGGAGGCAGCAGUGGGGGAUAUUGCACAAUGGGGGGAACCCUGAUGCAGCGACGCCGCGUGGGUGAAGAAGUAUUUCGGUAUGUAAAGCCCUAUCGGCAGGGAAGAAUUUAGACGGUACCUGACUAAGAAGCCCCGGCUAACUACGUGCCAGCAGCCGCGGUAAUACGUAGGGGGGAAGCGUUAUCCGGAUUCACUGGGUGUAAAGGGAGCGUAGACGGCCAUGCAAGCCUGGAGUGAAAGCCCGGGGCCCAACCCCGGGACUGCUCUGGGAACUGUGCGGCUGGAGUGCGGGAGGGGCAGGCGGAAUUCCUGGUGUAGCGGUGAAAUGCGUAGAUAUCAGGAGGAACACCGGCGGCGAAGGCGGCCUGCUGGACCGCGACUGACGUUGAGGCUCGAAAGCGUGGGGAGCAAACAGGAUUAGAUACCCGCGUAA